ensembl:lncRNA
UCCCUGCCCCUCCCCCUCCAUCCCCCCCCUAUCCUCGCCCUCAACCCGGGCUGAAAACUUCGGCGGCUGACAAGAAAUCAAUGCGUCCGGGCGCCGGGGCUCAGGUAUUGGAUUGCAGGUGGGCCCAGGAGGAGCCCACCACCACCCCCCCCCACUCCCCCCGAGCUGUCCGCUACCGUUAGCCGCUGCGCCGCUGCAGCCGGAGAUGUGAAGUCUUUGGCUGGCGGAUAAAAAUGUCAAGCACUAAUAGGCUCCAUUGUGAUUAGCCGAGACGCAGUCCACAAAUCCUCGGUAGAAAAUCUGUUAGCAGAGAUCUUUACAAGGUCUCCGGCGCCGCCCCGGCUCCUCCUCCUCUCGCCACGCUGCCUUCUUCUUCGCAUUUUCUUUAUUUUUUGUAUGUAUUCUCUUUGCUUCACGAGGGAACGCCGAGGAAUCGCGGUGAUAAAUAUAUAAUCGUCCCAACUUUCCUUCAAAUAGAAACUAGAAAAACGCGGCGCAGAAUAUUCAUGAGCUGCUUUGUUACUCGGGAUCCUGUUUUUAGGGAUUUGUUUUAACGCCCCAAAAGCGCUCUCAGGUAGAAAAUAAUAUCUAUGCUUUUUGGAGGAUUUCUCGCUCUCAGCUGCUUCUUCCCUUUACCUUUUUUUCUUCUUUUAACUGAAAAGUUGAGUGAAUCCGGGCUGAGAGUCCUGACCUCUGAGUGUGAAGGUAUCAGAGAACACGAGAUGAAAAAAAAGAGGCAUCACUUAUUUAGUUAGUAAAGUUUUAUCUCCUGGAGAUGGCUGCUGAACAUUCAAAACAACACCGAGCAGCAACGCGUCUUCAGCUUUCUGACUUCCAACUCCGAUCAGACGUUCCUCCGAUCCCUCGGAGGUCAAAGCCGAUAAAGGGCGGCCAUUUUCUUUUUUAUAAAAACGUUUUAAUGGACGCGGCGGAGGACGUUGGAGAUGUCGCAAAUGUCCUCGUCCGCCUGAGGAACCAUUUGCCGGUGAGGAGAGGUUGAGGUGAGGAGAGGUCGAGGUGAGGUCCGAGGUGAGGUCGAGGUGAGGAGAGGUCGAGCUGAGGAGAGGUCGAGGUGGAGAUGAGGUGAGGAGAGGAGAGGUCGAGGAGAGGUCGAGCUGAGGAGAGGAGAGGUCGAGGUGAGGAGAGGUCGAGGUGAGGUCGAGCUGAGGAGAGGUCGAGGUCGAGGUGAGGUCGAGGUGAGGUCGAGCUGAGGAGAGGUCGAGGUGAGGUCGAGCUCUCCUCUCAUCUUUCAUUGCAGUAAAAAAGAGACUUCAUCAGCAACGUAUAACAUAUAAGUCUGGUGCAUUUAAAUACAGAUGUUUAAUCAAAUAAAUAGUUGAGCUCCAGAUGUGCUUUUAUUACACGCUUUACAUUUAAUUAUGCUCUCAGUAGAGUUUGUGUCUGCAGAUGGAAACUGUCCUCUUCUUCCUCUUUGUCAUCUUCUUCCUCAUCUUUUGCUGCUUUGUCUUCAUAUCUUUCUGUUUCGUCAUUCUUCUUCCACCUCUCCUUCUCCUUUCUUCUCUUCUCCUGUCCCGAUGUUGCUCUCAGCGACUGUACAAACUGGACUGAAGCUGAAACGAGCUUGUGUCUACAUUCUGAGUCACAUGAUUCAGAAUAAAAGUCACGAAGGAUCAGCUGUUCUGGUGGAACAGAUGUUCGAUCCCUUCCACUUGUGGUCGGGAUGUUGUUUUAUCUUCUCGCGCUGACGAGGAAAACCAAACCUCGGAGGAGCAAAAGCUCUGAUUAAACAACACACGUGUGUUGGAAGAGACGGAUCAUCAGGUGUGUCGGAUUCCCAAACAUCGCUGAAGGUCAUGAGUUAAAUAAAAAGCUUCAAAUUCCUCCAUGUUUUCUGACAUAUUUCUAUUAAAAGUUUGAAGAAGCCUUGUGAAGACAUUCAUUACAUAAAGCAUAAUAUCAAAUAACCAGGAUGGAUCCUCAGGACUUAUAACACAGAAGAGGACCUUCUCUCCCAGGAACCUUCUCCAACUGGACCUUUCCUAUGUAUAAUUACUAAUAUAUUUAAGUACGGGAGGUUAUGCGUGUGAUAAUAUGCAGGUAGAGGAUGAACAGCAGCAAAACGAAGCGUCGACCCGACCGCGCCGCGAUGACCCGUCCUCGCCGUCACAAACCGCUCACAGAUGUUAUUACAAUACCACGCCUGGUCAGAAUCAAUGUCUCACAUUAUUCCUCCUCCACCCUCCUCCACCCUCCCUCGGUGAGUCCGUGGGCCGGUUGUUUCUCGAUCAAUGCGGCGAGAGAGAGAGAGAGGCGGGCGAGCGGCAGGCCGACCCGAGCAGCGACCCGUCCCACCAUCACCUCGGCCCGACGGGUUCUGUCUACGCGGCGCUACUUUCCCUCCCAAGAUGCACUGCUGCUUUUAAUGAAUUUCCUGUCUUGCGGCCUCAGAAAUGUCAACACUCAAUCAGCUGUAAUUGAAUUCCUGCAGCGGGCCGACGUCUCUUAAAGCAGCGCCAUUAAAACAUUCUUUCUGGAAAACUUACACGGGCUCUUUUUUUCUCCUUCGCUGGCCGUGUCUCGUAAUGUUUCUAACAUCUGUCCGGAGAGCAGGGCGGGGGGAGGAGGGGCUCUGAGUGAGGGGGGAGGGGGGUUAGGUGUUGGACGGAGGUCGACUGACUCGUGUUGUUGCUGAACAUGUUACAUGUGUCCCUGCCACUCCUCUUCUUCUGUGGUUUUAAUUGUAGUUUCCCUGCAGGACUCUCAUUUAUUCAUCGCAAAUGAAGCACCUCAUGCACUGAUGCUUCAUAGUAUUAAGUCAAUAAUCGUUAAUCAACGGCUACUUCAUUUAACCUUAAAAUUGCAACUGCUAUUAUUAUGAUAGGGUCAUAUUAAUAAUAAACGCACGUUAAUCUUAUUCAUAAAGGUAAACAUACAUGAUAUAUGAAAUAAUAAUGGCUUUAAAUAUCAACCACGGAAAGACGUUAAAAUAAUAUAAAAGAUAAAUGUAUUGAGAUGAUUUAGCCUGUUGACUUUCCACUGGAAGCGUUGUUUCUGAGGGAGGUUUGUGUUCCUGAUGUGCUGAGUGUGAACAGACAGAUGUGACGUCUCUUCGGCCGAUUCCUCUCCGUGAACUCGCUCAGCUUCCGGUGGUCGUCAACUUUUUCCCCAAAUUAAAUCAGCUCUUACAAAAUGUUCUGGCUUCAACGUCGAAUAAUUGGUCAGAAAAACAGCGUUGGUGUUUAAAGCGGAGAGGUUGAGCCUGAAACUCUCAACAGCCUGAAUCUGAAUCUCUGCAGCUUGAAUCUGAAUCUCUGCAGCC